UACGUAGGGGGCGAGCGUUGUCCGGAUUUAUUGGGCGUAAAGAGCGUGUAGGCGGUUCGGUAAGUCUGUCGUGAAAUCCUAAGGCUCAACCUCGGACGUGCGAUGGAUACUGCCGGGCUAGAGGAUGGUAGAGGCGAGUGGAAUUCCCGGUGUAGCGGUGAAAUGCGCAGAUAUCGGGAGGAACACCAGUAGCGAAGGCGGCUCGCUGGGCCAUUCCUGACGCUGAGGUGCGAAAGCGUGGGGAGCAAACAGG
rnacentral:rRNA from 1 species